GGAUAGUUUAUGUAUUAAUGGUAAUAAAGCAUGGUUGGGUUUUAGUUGAUUAAGUGAUUUAUAUGUAUAAUGAUUUAUAUGAAUGAGCUACGUUCUGUUUAGUAAUAUCUCGUAACCCUAAUCCAGCGAUGGAUAUGGGUUAGGGGGUUACAUUUUAAUUGGUAUCAGAGCUACAGUUUAGUCGAUUCUAGGACUAAUGUAGCGCGUGUGAGUCUAGCUAUACA
rnacentral:lncRNA from 1 species